CCCUUAGAUGUUCUGGGCUGCACGCGCGCUACACUGAUGCAUCCAACAAGUUUUUUCCUUGUUCGAGAGGGCUAGGUAAUCUUAUGAGAAUGCAUCGUGAUGGGGAUAGAUUAUUGCAAUUAUUAAUCUUCAACGAGGAAUUCCUAGUAAGCGCGAGUCAUCAGCUCGUGCUGAUUACGUCCCUGCCCUUUGUACACACCGCCCGUCGCUGCAACUGAUUGGGUGACCUGGUGAACAUCUUGGACCGGCCCACUCAAUUUCGAGAGGACUGGAAAAGGCCGUAAAUCAGGUACAUCUAGAAAUUGCAAAAGUCGUAACA
rnacentral:rRNA from 1 species